GCCUCUGUAGCUCAGUUGGUUAGAGCGCUGCACUGGAAUCGCAGGGUCGUAGGUUCAAUUCCUACCAGAGGAC